GGCCUGGCUGGGCGGUCCGCCUCACGGCGUGUACUGUCUGGCUGGGUCUUACCUCUUGGUGAACCGGCGUGCCCUUUAUUGGCGUGCGUCGGGGAACCAGGACUUUUACCUUGAGAAAAUUAGAGUGUUCAAAGCAGGCCUGUGCCUGAAUACAUUAGCAUGGAAUAAUAAAAUAGGACGUGCGGUUCUAUUUUGUUGGUUUCUAGAGUCGCCGUA
rnacentral:rRNA from 1 species